rnacentral:sRNA from 1 species
GCGGGCGCAGGCGGCCGGGAUGGCGGGGCCCGGCUGGGGUCCCCCGCGCCUGGACGGCUUCAUCCUCACCGAGCGCCUGGGCAGCGGCACGUACGCCACGGUGUACAAGGCCUACGCCAAGAAGGACACUCGUGAGGUGGUAGCCAUAAAGUGUGUAGCCAAGAAAAGUCUGAACAAGGCAUCGGUGGAGAACCUCCUCACGGAGAUUGAGAUCCUCAAGGGCAUUCGACAUCCCCACAUUGUGCAGCUGAAAGACUUUCAGUGGGACAGUGACAAUAUCUACCUCAUCAUGGAGUUUUGCGCAGGGGGCGACCUGUCUCGCUUCAUCCAUACCCGCAGGAUUCUGCCUGAGAAGGUGGCGCGUGUCUUCAUGCAGCAGUUAGCGCCCUGCAAUUCCUGCAUGAACGGAGUAUCUCUCACCUGGAUCUGAAGCCACAGAACAUUCUACUGAGCUCCUUGGAGAAGCCCCACCUAAAACUGGCAGACUUUGGUUUCGCACAACACAUGUCCCCGUGGGAUGAGAAGCACGUGCUCCGUGGCUCCCCCCUCUACAUGGCCCCCGAGAUGGUGUGCCAGCGGCAGUAUGACGCCCGCGUGGACCUCUGGUCCGUGGGGGUCAUCCUGUAUGGUGAGACCUCUUUUCCCUGCUUCUCACCCUGAGGCCUACACUGUUUCCUCAGGCAAGGCCUCUCUAGGCCACUUCUGAAGGGUUCUGAUGAAAACUGACUGCUGGCCCAGGGCCCCUGCUGAGGGGCGUCAGGCCAGGCUUGACCCAUUCCAUCCCAGCCUUCGCUCUGCCUCCCUUCCACAGAAGCCCUCUUCGGGCAGCCCCCCUUUGCCUCCAGGUCGUUCUCAGAGCUGGAAGAGAAGAUCCGUAGCAACCGGGUCAUUGAGCUCCCCUUGCGGCCCCUGCUCUCCCGAGACUGCCGGGACCUACUGCAGCGGCUCCUGGAGCGGGACCCCAGCCGUCGCAUCUCCUUCCAGGACUUCUUUGCGCACCCCUGGGUGGACCUGGAGCACAUGCCCAGUGGGGAGAGUCUGGGGCGAGCAACCGCCCUGGUGGUGCAGGCUGUGAAGAAAGACCAGGAGGGGGAUGCAGCAGCCGCCUUAUCACUCUACUGCAAGGCUCUGGACUUCUUCGUACCUGCCCUGCACUAUGAAGUGGAUGCCCAGCGGAAGGAGGCAAUUAAGGCAAAGGUGGGGCAGUACGUGUCCCGGGCUGAGGAGCUCAAGGCCAUCGUCUCCUCUUCCAAUCAGGCCCUGCUGAGGCAGGGGACCUCCGCCCGAGACCUGCUCAGAGAGAUGGCCCGGGACAAGCCACGCCUCCUAGCUGCCCUGGAAGUGGCUUCAGCUGCCAUGGCCAAGCGGAGCCCCCGGGCCGGAGGCGAGAGCUGCUUCACACUGAGGUUCAGAACCUCAUGGCCCGAGCUGAAUACCUGAAGGAGCAGGCCAAGAUGAGGGAAUCUCGCUGGGAAGCUGACACCCUGGACAAAGAGGGACUGUCGGAAUCUGUUCGUAGCUCUUGCACCCUUCAGUGACCCUAGAAGAAUGAUUGGACAGACGUGAG